GUUCCGGUUGAUUGGUCUUCCUUUUGGCAUGCACUUUUCGGCUGGUUCUUACCUUCUGGUGAGUCAGCAUGCUCUUUACUGGGUGUGCUGAGGAACCAGGACUUUUACUUUGAAAAAAUUAGAGUGUUUAAAGCAGGCAUUCGCUUGAAUACAUUAGCAUGGAAUAAUGGAACAGGACCUUGGUUCUAUUUCGUUGGUUUCUAGGACCGAAGUA
rnacentral:rRNA from 1 species